rnacentral:rRNA from 1 species
AUGCUAGAGAGCUCUACAGGAGAGGGAGAGGAGUUCAUCAAUGAAGUUGCAACCAUUGGACUGAUCCAUCAUGCAAAUAUCAUACGUCUCUUAGGCUUUUGCUCCGAAGGAAGAAGACGGGCUCUUAUUUAUGAAUUCAUGCCUAACGAGUCGCUGGAGAAAUACAUAUUUCCACAAGUUUCUAAUACUUCUCGACAACCCCUAGCAACCAACAAAAUGCUGGAUAUUGAUGUAGGCAUUGCCCGAGGAAUGGAAUACCUGCACCAAGGCUGCAACCAGCGCAUCCUCCACUUUGACAUCAAGCCACAUAACAUCCUGCUGGACUGCAACAUCAAGCCACAUAACAUCCUGCUGGACUACAACUUCAAUCCGAAGAUCUCGGACUUUGGCCUUGCAAAGCUGUGUGCAAGGGACCAAAGCAUCAUUACCUUAACUGCAGCAAGAGGGACUAUGGGAUACAUCGCACCAGAGCUAUACUCUCCAAACUUUGGAGGAGUGUCGUACAAGUCAGAUGUGUACAGUUUUGGCAUGCUUGUGUUGGAAAUGGUCAGUGGAAGGAGGAACUCAGAUCCAAGUGUUGAGAACCAGGAUGAGGUAUAUCUCUCAGAGUGGAUCUACGAGAAAGUAAUCAAUGGGCAAGAAUGGGAGCUUACUUUGGAAAUGACAGCAGAAGACAAGGAGAAGAUGAGACAGCUGACUAUUGUGGCACUGUGGUGCAUCCAGUGGAAUCCGAAGAACCGGCCAUCAAUGACUAAGGUGGUAAACAUGUUAACUGGGAGGCUUCAUAACCUGCAUAUUCCCCCCAAGCCCUUUGUGUCGUCUGAUAAUCGCCCCAUGCCACAAAACACGACGAACACAUGA